CAAAGUUAGGCUAAUUACCCCACCCAUGUUAAGUCACGCCUCGACGUCUAUUUAUGUCGCUGAUGAAUUGCGUCAUCGGUCGCUGUCUUAAAAUCGUCACUGUCAGUUUUUCCCCUCAAAUUAAUGCUGUGUUCAAAACAACUGGGAACUCAAAUCUCCGACUUCAGUGUGUUAAAAAAAAAACUGGGAACUCGGGAAAAAAAAGAGCUCCGACUGGGGGAAAAUCGAUUUCAACAGUCAUCAAACUCGGGAAUCGGGCUUAUUUGUUCUUUCUAGAGUUCCGACUUUUCGAUUUGAAGUUGACUGACGUCAAGAUUUUACCUCAUAUUCUUCCGAGUUCGUAUUUGGUUUGAAUGCAGCAACUUUUUCCAAGUAAAAACUGCAUAGCGAUUUUAUCGUAUACCUCGAUCUGGCGAAACGUCAAGAUGUUUCAGAGAUUACAAAUAUUUCUGGAGUGACUGAUGCCCAUCAGAUGAAAUAUGUGACUCAUUCUUCCAAUCAUGAAGUCUGUAGAAAUUGCGCCAGAAAGUGUGCUUGUCGCGCCUCCUCGUCACCGCUGGAUGGACAGUGCGGGGUGGUCAGUAGCUGGAGUCCGUUUUCAACGACAUGAAGUCUGGGUCUGAGCCUCUCAUUCACUCGGACAGGAGAACGACACGCAGAAGCAUGGAAUUGGAUAUUUAUUUCCAGGAAUACACAGACCAUGCAGCACAGACAGAAAACAAUGGGGGAUACAUGUCAACAGAUCCUGUCACGGUGUCUUCACAACGAUUCAACUUGGACAUUAAGCUCCACCCUGAGUCUCCACCCUACCACAACAGACCUCUGGUAACCAGCGCAGGACAGUCACUAAACAGAAGAAAAUAGACCGAAACUCUUGUGUGCAUUAAUGCAUACGACCCUGGAUACUGUUUCAGCAAACUGAAGUCUUAGGCUGUUCAGUGGACACUAGAUGGGGUAGAUCAUUACAUUGAUUGUUUUUAUUAAUGUGUUUCUAUUUUUGUAAGCUGCACUGACAUUCUGUUUUCUGGAUUGUAAACUGCUUUAAGUGCACUGUUGUGGCACAUGUUUUCAUAUGUGUAAAUAAAACCAAUCUAUAUAUUUGCCCAUUUGUGUUUUAGACAUUAUCCAUCACAGUUUGUAAUACUGAACAACUAUUGCUGCUGUAUGUAGAUAUUAACUGUACAUAGAAAAUACAUGGGUAAUAAAUAUAUAGAAAUUAACUACAUACAUAUUAAAACCUCCUAAAGGAUCAGUGUCCCUAUAUCGGGAUGGUUGUUGCUAAUGUGACUAGAAUUUUUAACCUUUUAUUUAACUAGGCUAGUCAGUUAAGAACAAAUUCUUAUUUUCAAUGACGGCCUAGGAACAGUG
rnacentral:lncRNA from 1 species